ensembl:lncRNA
GGUGGACAUGUGGCACCCCGCUCCUCAUAAGGGCUUUGAGUUCGGGGCAGUGCACCAUGUCUCUGUUCAUAGUAGAGGAGAGAUAGUUCUCCCACUUCACCCCCACUGACACCUCAGGGUCUGUUAGGGAGAGGGAGCACAGGUCCAGAGCCCUCACCUGUGGAGAGGAGGAAGAUGAUGAUGAGUAAAAGGAGAGGGGGGGAGAGGAGGGGGAGCACAGGUCCAGAGCCCUCACCUGUGGAGAGGAGGAAGAUGAUGAUGAGUAAAAGGAGAGGGAGGGAGAGGAGGGGGAGAGGAGGAGGAAGAUGAGGGGAUAGGGAGGGCAGGUCCAGGGAGAAAGGGAUAGGGAGUACAGGUCCAGGGAGUCAGGGAUAGGGAGUGCAGGUCCAGGGAGACCCGGGAUAGGGAGUGCAGGUCCAGGGAGUCAGGGAUAGGGAGUGCAGGUCCAUGGAUACAAGGAUAGGGAGUGCAGGUCCAGAGCUCUCACCUUGGCUACCAGCUUCUCCUCUUCAUCAUCCUCCUCUGGAACUGUUUUGAAGCCAAACACAUCGUACUCACUGGUUGGAUGGAGAGGGGAAAUAAUUGAUUGAAAUAAACUCACAAGAGAGCAGGACAGCGUCGUCAGCCGAACAACAAUCAUAAAAGGUUAAGUACCUUGCUCAGGGGCACAACAGCAGUGAAUAGAGGGUCGGUGGAAAGGUACUUUCAAUAUCCUUAUACAUUAACACAGUAGCAUAUAUUGAAU